rnacentral:rRNA from 1 species
UGCGUAGGCGGCUUUGUAAGUCAGAGGUGAAAGCCCACGGCUCAACCGUGGAAUUGCCUUUGAUACUGCUGAGCUUGAAUCAGGUUGAGGUGAGCGGAAUGUGGCAUGUAGCGGUGAAAUGCUUAGAUAUGCCAUAGAACACCAAUUGCGAAGGCAGCUCACUGGACCUGUAUUGACGCUGAGGCACGAAAGCGUGGGGAGCGAACAGGAUUAGAUACCCUGGUAGUCC